ensembl:lncRNA
GUUGUUACUUCCGCUGAAAUAUCAUUUACUCCCUUCUCUUUCUUCCAGAGCUUUGGCAACCAAGAAUCACUAACAGUUUUCCAAAUGGUGCUGUGCCCACAGUGCGAUGGGGAACACACACUCUCCAGAGGAGAUGCUUAGGGCUGGAGCAUUAACUGGACAAAAUGGAUAAAGAAAGACCCCCAAAACACAGGAUAGAACUCGCAGUAUUUGCUGAACUGUGAAGAAUUUGGAUACAUUCAGUUAAUGAAAGUUUUUGCUUGAAGUUUUGGUUUCAGGAGCAGGGAGAAGGCACAGGAGGAUGCACAGCUCCAAGGGGACCUGUGAAGGAGCUGAGAAGUGAGAAGACCGAAAGACAAGGACGCCCCACACACCAGCCCCUGUGCCACCCCUUGCUGCACAAAGAGAGGAAAAAGCCCACCAGGCUGGUGGUUCCUGCUGUUUUGUCGAUGGGAGUAAUGGAUGUC